ensembl:lncRNA
AAAAAAAGGUUCCUAUGAAAUUUCAAGUGAGUUUCUAGUCUAUUUUGUAUGGGAAUAUACUCAAUGAUAUCAGCCAUAAAUUAAAAAGAAAAAUACAGACAUUAUUAUAUUUUUUGAAAUAUGUACAUUAAAGCUUCUUCCCUUCUUUACUACUUUUCAUAAAGCAGUUUCAUCUCAUUACAUGCCUAAUAAGGAAGGACUAAUGUGAUGCCUUUCAGUAAUUCCUGCUCUUCUUUUUAUUUUUCCAAGAGAAUUUGACAGCACAUGUUCCUUCCUUGUGUGACUUGAUGACAGACUAGUCUAAUGAAGUGGAAAUGAAGAUCCUGUCCUUUUUGCCAAGACCUAACCCAAGGCCUUGAGUGAAGAAACCUGUUCAUACAAUGAUUCCUGAUGAGCAAGUAGGGACUGAAGGAUUUUAGGCCCAGAGAGCCUUGCAGAGAAAAUACUAUUUGCAAAUUAAUUCUGAUUCCCUAACAGCUUGAAAGGACAGAAAUGCAAGGAAAGUAGUUUGAAUUUUACCCGUGAAAAAAUACAUUUGCUACUUUUGUGUUAUAUGACAACACAGUAAUUAACACAUCUAAUUUAGGGAUGUAACUGGUCAUCAUCCAGCCAUGAAAUGGGUUUUCAGAAUUAAGAACUGUUUCAAAGGGCAACUUUUUUUGUUGGAAAAUGCUAACAAGUUGCUUGCACUAAAGGCAUUACUAAGAAUGCCACUGACUUUGAGAGAAUGAAUGCAGAAAUGCAGGCACCUCUAUAACAAAAAUAAUAUAACGUGCUGAUGAAUCACAUAUGCAGUACCUAGAUCUUAGUGUGAUUCUAGGUCAGUUCUCCUCAUUAGAAAUUGCAUCUCUACUCUUUCUAAACUUAGUACAAAAACCCCCAAAACAAGAUAACCUAAUGAAGACUUGAUUAGUGACUUGCUGAUCUCUCAAUUGUAGGGAACUUUUGUUAUAUCCAGUGGGGAAAAUACAAAAGAAAAAACAGAACAAAAUAAAAAUUAUGACAUUCCUUUAAAAAAAAACCCUAAAACCCAGACCCACAGCCCAAAAACUCCAACAUACUUAUAUUAACCUUAAGGCAUCAAUUAGUGGAAGACACAAGCAAAAUCUACUGCAAAUGUACCCCUAGCAAGGUUAGCUGGACCAGAAAGUUAAAACUUAAUGUGCAUAGCAGUAACUCAACAGAAAUACUCAGUGUUGGAUGCUGGUAUUGAAUGCCUUCACCAAAUCAAACUGAGCACACCAGACAGGUUGUAUAUUGGGAUUAUGGAGAAAACACAGCUGUGAAACUCCUUAAACUAAAAUCCAUGUUUUUUACUUCUUAAAAAUUUGAUAUCCAAUUGAACAUUGUAAGCAUCUUCUCCCUUUAGAAAGGCUUCACAAAACAUUUUCAAUAUCUAGUUUGUGAAUAAUCACAUCAGGGCACACAAAGAACAUUAUGAACUGUGCUGCAUCAUUCAAACUAUUUUCAUGUAACAUAAAACGUGUGAGCCAGGUGCUCAAAGAGUUAAGUCAAACAAAUUUAAAAUGUAUAAUAAAUGUGAGUUUCAAAGCACUCACAUCAGAAAAAAAUGGGCUUAACAAGAUUUAAACACAUUGGGUUUAGGGUCUAUGCAGCAGAGUGGUUUUAAGUUGAAGCUAUUUCCAAGUCAAAAUCACCUCCAUCUACAUUUAUUUCAGAAAAAGGAAAAUAUGUUUUGAUUACUUGUUUUAACUCCAGCUGUAACCCUAAGCAACACAUUUUCUGACUUGCUGAGAGGGCAGCUAUUUACAGGAAAGCAAGAGAUUUUGCUUCUUUAAUACAUGUUUUCAGUUUGUGAACAUUCAUGAAUUGUAUUUAUGCCCAUUUUAAACAAACUGCUUCAAAUCUUACAGAUUCAUGUAUGAAACAAGCAUUAAUGCAAGAGGAUUUCUACAAAGAGAACUCUGUAAAAGCAUACCAUUCACUUAAAACCAAAAUGUGUAAAUUGUAUAUCUGUCGACUCCUUUCUGGUGGAGUUCAUAAUAGAGCAUGGAUACAGGAAAAAGCAUAUGCAAAGUUUAAUAUACAAACAAAUGUAUUUUUCUUAAUGAUAGAUUUUAGUAGCUACUCAUUUCAGCCACACGUACAUUCUACUUGCUCAUCUGAUCCUGUAGUGAUUAUUUUCUGGGAUUUUACAUUUUGUCUUUGAACAAACUGAAAAAUUUCAAAGCCUGGGUGGCAACAAUAUCACACAACGUGGCACAAAGUUUAAAGUUUGUGAGCAAAUGAGUUCUAGCUCUGCAGUAGUACUAUAUAAUGGAUUACAGAAGAAAGGUUCAUUAGAUCUCUAUCAUGUGAAGACCUAAUAUUGAAUCAGUAAGCACCUAGCUGGGAAGCAAAAGCUAUACAGUAAUUAAUGUACUAUAGUAUGCAUGCAUUGAUUUUUACAUGGACUAUAUUUUAGCAGUAAUAAUGUCUGGCACCAGACUACAAAUCAAUAGGAGCCACUAUUGUGCUGUUGGUUAAAAAAAAAAAAAAAUAAGGAUAGCAACCUUUUGUUUAACUGGCAUAAUCAGAGUUCCACACCUCAAUUUUCCUAUUGUAGUACCUGACAUUUUUUAAAAUAAGAUUUUCAUCCCAAAUUUAUUUGAAAUACAUACAAAUACACAGUCUUUGUACUCAUUCUGAUCUUUUCAUAAGCAAUACAAUGUCAAAUUAAGAAAAAAAAGCAAAAUAUAAACAACAAAUGGAAAAAGAGACUAAGUACCCUUCACGUGAAUAUUCCUAGAGAUUUGUGUUUGCUAUCACAGUUCAAACACCAUGUUAUGCUUUGCUUCCCUUCACUGUUUUCUCUUAGAAUUCUUAGCAAGUUUCAGACUAAUACAUGAACACAAGGUGGGAAAGAAACCGCACGGGUUUUCUGAAAAGGUGAUAUUAAGAGUCUAUUAAGAAUCAAAGAAAAAAAGAAAAAUUAACUCUGAAAGUUCAGCAUUCUUGGAAGAUCUCAAGGGAACAGGGUGUGUAGCAUCAGAGCCCAGAUUCCAUCUUCACUAACUGGUGUAGACCCAUCACAUUGCACAAGGGAUUUUCCAAUCCACAAUAUAAAGGAAUAAGUUAAGGACCAGCUCCAAAAAACAGCUUUACUAGAGAAGUUGGCAGGCAAGUGAUUCAGGAUGGAGGCUACAGGAGCCAAACAAGAAAGGCCUUGUGUGUCUGGACCUGGGCAGUCAUUUCAUGAGCUUUCUUUCACAGACUUAAAAAAGAAAAAAAAUCAGUUUGUAAGCUGUAACUUGACAGAACCCCACGAAAAUGACAGAUGGAAAGAAAAUCUUACUUUAGUGAGAGUUUUAAGGCGUAUAGAAAUCCAAGGACAAUUAUGGUACACGUGAAGGUUAUCUUGCCCUCCGUAAGAAGUUCUUUUAUUUAGGACUUGAAGUCAGAACAACCUUCAGAACAGUAUAGCCAAUAUUACAGCAUGCUAAAAAUUAUCAUGGCAGACAAAAGAAUACUCAAUUAAGAUUCACAUUACUGAUAACACAGCUCAUUUUUAAAAGGAAAGCCUAAUAAAAGAAAAAUAAUAUUAAUUUAAGGAGAAAAAAAAAAAGUCUAUGUAAUGUUUCUUUCUCCCUAGCACCUAUAGUUCUUUUACUUCCAAGGCAAUACCAAUCCUGCUUCCACUGCCUUUUUCUAGUAGCAGUUUACAGCCAAGAAAGGUUAGCAUGGGUAACUUCAAAUUCAUUGUCAUUAGCACACAGAAUGUAGCUGAUGGAAGUGAUGUAUUUUCCAUUUUUUAUCCUGUGGUUAGCAUUUCAGUAUUUUUAAAAUAAACAAAAUAAACGGGAUUAUUAUAUGUGUUUAUAGUAUGAGGAAAAUAAUGUAAUAAUUAAAUUAGCAUAAUAACCUUGAAGAGAAAGCAUGCAUGCAACCUCUGUAAAGGUUGCUGCUAAUCCACAGGAGAAAAAGCAUUA